UACGUAGGGGGCAAGCGUUGUCCGGAAUCAUUGGGCGUAAAGAGCGUGUAGGCGGCCCGGUAAGUCCGCUGUGAAAGUCCAGGGCUCAACCCUGGGAUGCCGGUGGAUACUGUCGGGCUCGAAUCCGGAAGAGGAGUGUGGAAUUCCUGGUGUAGCGGUGAAAUGCGCAGAUAUCAGGAGGAACACCAAUGGCGAAGGCAGCACUCUGGGACGUGACUGACGCUGAGACGCGAAAGCGUGGGGAGCGAUCCGG
rnacentral:rRNA from 1 species